rnacentral:rRNA from 1 species
CUACAAAGGAAUUGACGGGACCCGCACAAGCAGCGGAGCAUGUGGUUUAAUUCGAAGCAACGCGAAGAACCUUACCAGGUCUUGACAUCCUCUGACAAUCUGAGAGAUCAGACUUUUCCUUUCGGGAACAGAGAGACAGGUGGUGCAUGGUUGUCGUCAGCUCGUGUCGUGAGAUGUUGGGUUAAGUCCCGCAACGAGCGCAACCCCUGUGGUUAGUUGCCAUCAUUUAGUUGGGCACUCUAAGCAGACUGCCGUGGAUAACACGGAGGAAGGUGGGGACGACGUCAAAUCAUCAUGCCCCUUAUGACCUGGGCUACACACGUGCUACAAUGGUCUGAACAGAGGGCUGCGAAACCGCGAGGUGAAGCUAAUCCCUUAAAACAGAUCUCAGUUCGGAUUGCAGGCUGCAACUCGCCUGCAUGAAGUUGGAGUUGCUAGUAAUCGCAGAUCAGAAUGCUGCGGUGAAUGCGUUCCCGGGUCUU